ensembl:snRNA Gm23470 predicted gene, 23470
AUACUUACCUGGCAGGAGAGAUACCAUGAUCACGAAGGUGGUUUUCCCAGGAUAAGGUUUAUCCAUUGCACUCCAGAUGUUCUGACCUCUGUGACACCCCCAUCAAAAACAAAAAUAGGC